rnacentral:rRNA from 1 species
UGGCCGAGAGGCUGAACCAGCCAAGUCGCGUGAAGGAAGAAGGAUCUAUGGUUUGUAAACUUCUUUUAUAGGGGAAUAAAGUGGAGGACGUGUCCUUUUUUGUAUGUACCCUAUGAAUAAGCAUCGGCUAACUCCGUGCCAGCAGCCGCGGUAAUACGGAGGAUGCGAGCGUUAUCCGGAUUUAUUGGGUUUAAAGGGUGCGUAGGUGGUGAUUUAAGUCAGCGGUGAAAGUUUGUGGCUCAACCAUAAAAUUGCCGUUGAAACUGGGUUACUUGAGUGUGUUUGAGGUAGGCGGAAUGCGUGGUGUAGCGGUGAAAUGCAUAGAUAUCACGCAGAACUCCGAUUGCGAAGGCAGCUUACUAAACCAUAACUGACACUGAAGCACGAAAGCGUGGGGAUCAAACAGGAUUAGAUACCCUGGUAGUCCACGCAGUAAACGAUGAUUACUAGGAGUUUGCGAUACAAUGUAAGCUCUACAGCGAAAGCGUUAAGUAAUCCACCUGGGGAGUACGCCGGCAACGGUGCAACUCAAAGGAAUUGACGGGGGCCCGCACAAGCGGAGGAACAUGUGGUUUAAUUCGAUGAUACGCGAGGAACCUUACCCGGGUUUGAACGUAGUCUGACCGGAGUGGAAACACUUUUUCUAGCAAUAGCAGAUUACGAGGUGCUGCAUGGUUGUCGUCAGCUCGUGCCGUGAGGUGUCGGCUUAAGUGCCAUAACGAGCGCAACCCUUGCACUAGUUACUAACAGGUGAAGCUGAGGACUCUGGUGAGACUGCCAGCGUAAGCUGUGAGGAAGGUGGGGAUGACGUCAAAUCAGCACGGCCCUUACAUCCGGGGCGACACACGUGUUACAAUGGCAUGGACAAAGGGCAGCUACCUGGCGACAGGAUGCUAAUCUCCAAACCAUGUCUCAGUUCGGAUCGGAGUCUGCAACUCGACUCCGUGAAGCUGGAUUCGCUAGUAAUCGCGCAUCAGCCAUGGCGCGGUGAAUACGUUCCCGGGCCUUGUACACACCGCCCGUCAAGCCAUGGGAGCCGGGGGUACCUGAAGUCCGUAACCGCAAGGAUCGGCCUAGGGUAAAACUGGUGACUGGGGCUAAGUCGUAACAAGGUAGCCGUACCGGAAGGUGCGGCUG